rnacentral:lncRNA from 1 species
AUAUGCCCGUGCGUUGCAACGGAAGAAAAACAUCAAAUGAUCUUAAAAAGUGAUGACAUGAUAUUACAUAUCUAUUUAUAUUUAUCUUUUUUAUAAAAUUUAAAGUUCAUAAUUUAUUUUAUUGAUAACCAUAACAUCUAUGGUAUUAGAUAGUUAAUAUUUACAAUAAUAUAUAGCUUGAAGACAUAUUUAUUUAAUAAUAAUAAUAGAAAUUAGUUAAACCUUAUCUCACUCUAAUAUUACCUUUUAAUAUACCUCAAUAUUAUAUUAAAACAUGAGAAGUUUGAUGCUAGCAUUAUUUUUUUAUUUAGAUUAGGAUUGCUAUGAAAUAUGAAUGAAGCAUCACAU